rnacentral:rRNA from 1 species
ACGGGCAUUGCUAGUACGGCGAGUGAGCGGCAACAGCUCAAAUUUGAAAGCUAGCCUUCGGGUUCGCAUUGUAAUUUGUAGAGGAUGCUUUGGGUAAAACGCCAGUCUAAGUUCCUUGGAACAGGACGUCAUAGAGGGUGAGAAUCCCGUAUGUGACUGGAAAUGUUAACCUAUGUAAAGCUCCUUCGACGAGUCGAGUUGUUUGGGAAUGCAGCUCUAAAUGGGAGGUAAAUUUCUUCUAAAGCUAAAUAUUGGCGAGAGACCGAUAGCGCACAAGUAGAGUGAUCGAAAGAUGAAAAGCACUUUGGAAAGAGAGUUAAAAAGCACGUGAAAUUGUUGAAAGGGAAGCGCUUGCAAUCAGACUUGUUUAAACUGUUCGGCCGGUCUUCUGACCGGUUUACUCAGUUUGGACAGGCCAGCAUCAGUUUCGGCGGCCGGAUAAAGGCUCUGGGAAUGUGGCCUCCACUUCGGUGGAGGUGUUAUAGCCCAGUGUGUAAUACGGCCAGCCGGGACUGAGGUCCGCGCUUCGGCUAGGAUGCUGGCGUAAUGGUUGUAAGCGACCCGUCUGA